UACGGAGGGUGCAAGCGUUGCUCGGAAUCACUGGGCGUAAAGCGCCCGCAGGCGGCCUGACAAGUCGGAUGUGAAAGCCCUGGGCUCAACUCAGGAAUUGCAUUCGAAACUGGUAGGCUCGAGUACGGGAGAGGGGGGUGGAAUUCCUGGUGUAGGGGUGAAAUUCGUUGAUAUCAGGAGGAACACCGGCGGCGAAGGCGGCCCCCUGGCCCGCAACUGACGCUCAUGGUCGAAAGCGUGGGGAGCAAACAGG
rnacentral:rRNA from 1 species